UCAACUUAGAACCAUUCAACUUGGAUGGUUAUGCUGAAUACAGACAACGGCAUAGCCAUCAUAGUUCAGUAGUUUUUCCGAAGACAUUCAACGGCAUAACCAUCCAAGUUGAAUGGUUA
rnacentral:miRNA from 1 species